rnacentral:rRNA from 1 species
AUUGAACGCUGGCGGCAGGCCUAACACAUGCAAGUCGAGCGGAUGAAGGGAGCUUGCUCCUGGAUUCAGCGGCGGACGGGUGAGUAAUGCCUAGGAAUCUGCCUGGUAGUGGGGGAUAACGUCCGGAAACGGGCGCUAAUACCGCAUACGUCCUGAGGGAGAAAGGGGGGGAUCUUCGGACCUCACGCUAUCAGAUGAGCCUAGGUCGGAUUAGCUAGUUGGUGGGGUAAAGGCCUACCAAGGCGACGAUCCGUAGCUGGUCUGAGAGGAUGAUCAGUCACACUGGAACUGAGACACGGUCCAGACUCCUACGGGAGGCAGCAGUGGGGAAUAUUGGACAAUGGGCGAAAGCCUGAUCCAGCCAUGCCGCGUGUGUGAAGAAGGUCUUCGGAUUGUAAAGCACUUUAAGUUGGGAAGAAGAGCAGUAAGUUAAUACCUUGCUGUUUUGACGUUACCAAAAGAAUAAGCACCGGCUAACUUCGUG